UCCCAGGACCCUGAGAUCAUGACCUGAGCUGAAAGCAGAGGCUUAACCCACUGAGCCACCCAGGCACCCCGUCCACCAUGGGCUUUAGAUCAGGGAGGGCCUUGGCAGGAAACAGCUUCAUUUCACCCUAUUCAAGCAGGAAACGUUUACUUUCCUAUAAGAGCUACUCACAGAGGGGGUGAGUGGGGUUAGGGAAGCCAGCCAGAGAGGCUGGCGAUCUCUGGGGCCAGCAACAGUGGGAGCCAAUACUGCCCCUUGGGUUGCAGGGGCGAGGUGCGGCGUAAACGGAGCCCAUGAGGGCUGGAACCACAGAGACGAGUGAGUCCAGCAUGAGGGAGUGAACCACAGAGAGAAUCCAGCGUGAGGGUCAUGUUCAGAGAGGGGUGAGAAUACAUAUUGUGACAUGAUCUCUCAAUUCACGCUCCCUCCUAUCUGCAGCCAAUGCCUUCCAUGAGCUACGCCCAUUCAGGAGCUAGAGAGCAAGGGGUCUGGUCAGGUUCAAGAGGUGAACCUCCUGAACAAAGAAAGUGAAGCCCAGCGCCCAGAUAGGGCUCAAGUGUGUGGCUGUCGCACUUGGAGAGGAAUUUGGAGCGUGUGUGUCUCCGGAGCAUUCUCCAGCCCCUUUUUAUCGGGAGUCUCAUUUUAAAGGCCCGUUCUUCAGGCUACAGAUCUCCCCGCUCUUCACUGACACAUGCAGGCCGUGCACACUGUGGAUCCAGCCUGUGCUUCUUGCCCUAUGGAAAUUCCCUUUCUUCCUCCUCUUUCCUUCUCCUCUUCCCUGGAUAAUCUGCGUUCCAGAGAGCAUCUCAUUAUGGGAAAAACAGGCCAGCUCACCCCAUAGCCUUGGCCGUCAGGGCCUAAGCAUCUUACAUGUACAAAUAACUUGAUCCUUAGGUCAGCCCUGUGGGGUGGUGUGGAUUAUCCCCAUUUUACAGAUGGGAAAAGCGAGGCACGGAGAAAUUAUGUAACUUCUCUAGUGUCCUACAUGCUAGUAAAUGACAAAGCUGGGCUUUUUGAACCCAGGCAGAUAGGUUCUAGAUGCUACGCUCUUGACAGAUCACGAUACUCUCCUGCCUUUUGCAGGACUGAUGAGUCCAGCCGGGGACAUCAGAGAGAGAACCUGCUGAGCUCUGGUUCAGAAGGUCACAGGGGACAGCAGUCAGAGUUUCCUUUUCCAGGGUCCAUCCAAGGGACAGGACUCCGUGGCUUCCAAUAGGAUAUCCUUCGGUUCUUGCUGUCUCUUGGGCAACCUGCAUAUCUGUGGUCUCUCUCCCUGGGGACUGGAAAUGACAGCUGGGACUUGCUUUGUGACAUCACGUCAUGGGAAUUUGAGAGCCCGGAGGCUUUGAGGUUGGCGCAGUGAUAGUAAUUACGGGCUUCUGAGCAUGACGGGGAGGAUGAAUGAGAUAGUGCAUGGAAAGAGGCUGGCACAGUGCCGGGCACUCAGAAGGCAGUCCGUGGGGCCGUCAGGCUGGGCCUCGUCCAUUGUUCCAUAGUCUGAUAAUUCCUAAGCCUGGAAUUCAGAUCGGAUGGUCUGGGGCAUCCCUGAGAGAGCUUGCUUUUUCAGGAGGGGAAGGGAAAGAAGAACUGAGAUUUGCAGGGUCCUUCCCUAAGCCAGGCACCCUGGGAAGCCCUUGACAUACAUCAUCUCAUAAUCUUCGAAAACAGCCCUAAGGAAAGAUACCCAUUCUACAGAUGCAGAGACUGAGGUCCAGAGACGGGCUUGUUCAAAGUCACUCAGCUGGUAAGUGGUGCAUCUGGGCUUCUGAUGAUUUCCUUCACUUAACCUUUUCUCUGAAGCAUCACUCAUUUCUCCUUUUCUACAGUGUCCCUUCUUGCAGCAUGCAGGCAUGUCUUUACAGUUCUAGAACUUUUUUCUUUUUUUAAUUGAAGGGUAAUUUAUAUGCAGCAAAAUUCAGGUUUUGGUGUUAGGUUCUAGGAGUUUGAUAAAUGCCUACAGUCAAAUCACUGCCACCGGGAUCAGGACCUAGAGAUUUCUAGUUCUAUCAGCCCCCCAAGUUCCCUUGUGCUCCUUUCAAGUCAGCCUUGGGGAUACCCCGCCGUGUCCCUGUUUUCUUCCACCUCUUUCUGUUUCCUUUGGAUGUUUCUUGCUCUCCUCAAUCUCCCAACAUUGGGAGAUCUUGCAAUAUUUUCCAGUUCUCUUCUCAGUAGUGUGUCCCUACUAGAUGCCCCACAGGUUCUAUGACUUUUGGUGACAACUCUAUGCUAAAUUGUGAGUUCCCGUCUCAUCUCCUAUUCUGGGCUUAGAACUUCAUUCAGCAGCCCACCGGCCCCUCCAACAGAGCUGAUAUUUCAGAUGUCCAAAGCAAAACUCUCAGCACUCUCCUUCGGAAACUUCUUUCUCAAGUAUGGCAAUUUCCUGAGAAGGACUCACUUCCCGUGGAGAACAGAGGUCCCAAAUGCUGACUUCUUCUCUUCUGCUCUGUUCGCUGUAAUCCAAACUCUCACCUGAUUCGGUCGAGCUGGCCUUCGAACUCUGCCUUCGAUAAGAAUAGUGAGUCCCAGAGCGGUUAAGAGGCUUCUUCAGGAUCACUCAGCUGGCUACCAUCAAGGCGGAACUUGAACUCUUCCCCUGUGGUCCCUGUGCUCUGCCCUCUUCUAGAUUUAACUUUGUACCUCUGAACCCAAAGGCCUGCCUGACAACAGGUCCCCUCCCUUACCUGGCUUCUCAAUCAGGAGAGGAGGAAGCUUGGGCCCUCCCUCUGACCCACCCAGCCACCCACCCAAGGUACCAUUAAAGUUAAUUGUUUUUACUGCCAGUUUAACAUAGUCUUGUAAAUUUUUUUAUGAUGUGGCCCAGGAACGCUGAGCUGUGUGCAGAACUCAGGGACAAAAUACAGUUUGAAUACAGAAGCAUGGCCCCAGCACUAGAGGGGGAGGGGGGCCUCCACCUGGAGGUUGUAAGAGGGGGUGCCCUCAGCUCUCCAGGGGACCCUCUUGCACUCACCCUUGUAUUACCUGGGUGAUGGUUUCCUAUUGAGGCAUAGCGUCACUGACUGGAUAGAUAGUUAAGCCUCUUCACCUAAACUGUGGAAUCCUCUGGUGUCGAAACCCCUACAGUGCUUGGUAGAGGGUUCUGGAACUUUUAGAAAGGUUAUGGGUAACUCUGGCACAGAAGGUGUGGCUCCAGGCGUGCUGGGUGCUUUCCAGCCUCGGGAUGCACAGAUAGGCUGGUCCAAGCAGGUACAAGGUGGGUGCCAGGGGCGCAUAUUCUAGGGUGUGGGGAACUUUGAUCGGUUCAGGACUUCCCUAUUCUACUCUUGCCUGCCUGGAGAGCCCAGCCUUCCCGGACUGUGCGUUUAAGAUGCUUAGCCCCCCCGGUUUGUGGAGAAGACAGCAGUUGCUAAUCACUGGGCAGCGCUUGGCUUCCACGUGGGGACUUUCUGGGUGCAUCUCCAUCCUAAGGCUCUGUUUUGGGAUUUGCCCGUGGUUGGUAUUAAAUCGCUACUUCUAAUGCACCCAGAAGAGUGCCGCCUGGCACACUCAACCUCUGUAAUGGGUGACUUUAUGGGGGCAUUCCUGAUGAAGCCCAAGUAUUCAUGAGGCACCUACUGCGUGCAGAGCCUUGUGGUAGGUACUAAGAAGCCUGACGUCCUCGCAUUGAAGGGGAGUAGGCAAACUCCGCAGACUUAGGAACGGAGGAACCGAGCAUCAAACCCACACAGGUCGAGCGCGGGUUCUGAAAGCGUAUUCCGAGAGCCGCCGCACCUGCAUGGCCCGCCCCGGGAACCUGUUAGAAAUGCAAAUUCUCCCGCCGCACUGCAGACCUACUGAAUCCCGCGCCUUGGGGACCGGGCCGGCAGUCUGGUUCUAGCAGGCCCCUCAGGUGACUGCCGUGCUCACUGAGGCUGAGAACCUGCGAUACAACGGACGUAAGCGCGGGCUUUGCAGGGAGGUUUGAAGUUUCUGGUUAGUUUCGAGGUUUGGGUCAAGAAAUUCUAAGAAGCUCAGCGGGGGUUGGAGGGCAUGGAGGGGAUGGGGAGGGAGUGGAGUGUGGGUUGGAGAAAUCCGCUCCAGCCCGGCGAGGAUGAGGAUGAAGGGCAGAGCAGCCCUCUCGCCCUAGAGCCUCCUGGGUCAGAGCCUCCGUUCUCUGCAGGAUGGACGACCGCGCACGACCCAAUUCGAGCAGGUCAGAGAGGUGCCUCAGGACGUGCCCACUGCGAUCUGAAACCUGUAAACCCUGAGUUCAGGCCCACUUCGUCUCUCCCGGGCGGCCUGCUUUGGGGGCAGCAUGACUUUCGCCAGCCUCAACUUCCCCGACCUGGCGGGAUCACUGCGGUUCGAAUGAGGCUAGAGGCUUGUAGAAGCUCCGUGAAGUUACGGAGUCCCGCCUCAGGACCAGUUUCCAGCGCAGCUCAGUUUAAGGACUGCACCUCCUCUGGCCCCUGCUAUGUAAGCAGGUUACAAUACUGCAUCUCCCUGACCUGAAUCUGGCCCCGAGCUGGACCAUCCUUGCGGUGAUCACAGAUACCCAAAGCCAGAGUCCUGGGCGGUGGAUUGUUCCUGCAACAACUGGUCUCAUCUGCGCUCCAGCCGAUAGCUCCAGAAAUGUGCCGAUGAAUGUUCUGGGGCUGAUUUAUUGAGCUAAUUCUAUUCCUAGUGACUCUGCAGAGGGGGACAGAACUUUUCGCUACAGAAAUGUCAGGUCUUCCUUACCUGCUCCAGGAAAUGGGAGAGGGUGGGUAAAGGGGACUGGUGCCCAAGGCAACAGAUGGAGGCAGCCUGAAGGCCGAGCCAGGAGAAGCCUCUUGGAAGACCUACUGUGGAUAUCAGUCGGCGUAUCACCUACCUGGAGGCUGGGUAUUGACUGGAGACAGGGGCGGACAGCGUGGAUAAACCAUUGUCUCUUCACUUACAGUUGGAUGGGCCCUGAGAAUUAUUUUACAGAGCCUGAGAAGGGCAUUCACUUGGCCAAGGCCACUGGCGUCAGGCCUCCCAUGGCCUUGAACUUGACCUUACCCGUGCUGCAGGCUGCCCAGUGGAGCUGUGAGCAGCAGGGGUCAGGGACUGUGGGGUGGUGGAAGUGGUGAUGGGAGUUGUCUCCCUAAUGGCCCCAGGGGUUGUGUGGGGGUGGCCCAGCUCUGACACCCAUCCUGGGCCUCCUGGUGCCUGAGCCCCAGAGACGGGGCCACAUUUUUCCACAUUUUGGGCUGGAGAGCCCUGCCAAGCUUUGGGGCCUGGGAAGGAGGAAGAGAAAGCAAGGCCCGGAGGGUGGGCAGCGAGGGGAGGGAGCAGUGAACAAAGGGGCCGGCGCUGGAUCGGGCAGGGCCGCUGAGUGAUGAUCCCCAGGCCCCGAGGUUGGGGCGGGCUGCCAGGAUGCACAGGGGGCGGGGAGGGAGAUUCCCUGAGACCGAGGCACAUGGAGGAGACCCAGACAGAGGUCGGAAAUAGAUAGUGAGAGAGAGAAAAACACACCGGAGAGACGGAGGCAGGUUUCGAGGUUGGCAGUUGAAGGGAGAAACAGAGAGAGAGAAGGGGACGAGGCACAUGGGGAGACAUGGGGAGACAGAAAGUAGGGACAGGAAGGCUGCAGAGAGGGAGAGACAGGGAAACAGGCAGACCCAGAGAGACAGAGGAGGAAGCAUAAGCACAGGAGAGAGAGAGACAGAGAGUGAGGGACACAGAGGAAGAGCACAGGUGCUUAAGACAGAGAACCAGAGGGUGGGAUCUGUAGCCAACAGCGGACAAAAAACCAAAUCGAUGUAAAAUCAUUCAUUUCAGGGCAGGGAUUUGAGAUUAUCUGACACGUGGGUCCCUGGCUGUCAUAGUAAAGGUCUUUGGCUACAA